GCGGGAUUAACAUAGUGGUAAUGUGUCAGCUUCCCAAGCUGAAUAGACGGGUUCGAUUCCCGUAUCCCGCUCCA
rnacentral:tRNA from 1 species